rnacentral:lncRNA from 1 species
GUGGUCCUAUGCAGGAAGCCAGAAGUGGCAGGAUGCCAAAUGCAGUGGAUAAGGUGGAUGAGGAUACAAUAUGCUUUUACAAGACUGGCUUUCCAUUGGGUGGCACUUAACAGUAUCACUCACCCAAUUUUUGAUCAUAGUUCCUAAAGACCGUCAUGGAAGAGAAUUUCCAGAGCAUCUCCAGAAAGCUGUAGCACAAGAACCUGGUAAGAGAAGACAAAGAAGCAAGACCAGACACUGACAUGAGACAAAUGUACCAUGAAAAAGGACAAGCAAAGUUAGAGAUGCAGGCCCGAAUGCCUCAAGCACCUGCAAACAUAAAGGUAAUAGAAAUCAUGUGUCUUUCUAUACUGGAGAGCUG